GCGCGAAAACUUUACAAUGCCGGCAACGGCGAUAAGGGGACCUCGAGUGCCAGGUUACAAAUCUGGCUGUCGUGAUGCCUAAAAAGCAUUGCAUAGCAAGGGCCGGGCAAGACCGGUGCCAGCCGCCGCGGUAACACCGGCGGCUCGAGUGGUAACCGUUAUUAUUGGGUCUAAAGGGUCUGUAGCCGGCCGGAUAAGUCGCUUGGGAAAUCCAGCAGCUCAACUGUUGGGCUUUCAGGAGAUACUGUUCGGCUCGAGGCCGGGAGAGGUGAGAGGUACUUCAGGGGUAGGGGUGAAAUCUUGUAAUCCUUGAAGGACCACCAGUGGCGAAGGCGUCUCACCAGAACGGACCUGACGGCAAGGGACGAAAGCUAGGGGCACGAACC
rnacentral:rRNA from 1 species